rnacentral:misc_RNA from 1 species
GAUGAAGAACGCAGCGAAAUGCGAUACGUAAUGUGAAUUGCAGAUUUCAGUGAAUCAUCGAAUCUUUGAACGCACAUUGCGCCCGCUAGUAUUCUGGCGGGCAUGCCUGUUCGAGCGUCAUUUCAACCAUCAAGCCCUAGGCUUGCGUUGGAGCCCUGCGGCUGCCGCAGGCUCCCAAAUCCAGUGGCGGGCUCGUCGUCGUACCGAGUGCAGUAAACAUCCUCGCUCAGGGAACGUGACGGGUUCUUGCCGUGAAACCCCCCACAUAUCAAGGUUGACCUCGGAUCAGGUAGGAAUACCCGCUGAACUUAAGCAUAUCAAUAGCGGAGGA